GGGUGACUGCGUACCUUUUGUAUAAUGGGUCAGCGACUUAUAUUUUGUAGCGAGGUUAACCGAAUAGGGGAGCCGAAGGGAAACCGAGUCUUAACUGGGCGAAUAGUUGCAAGGUAUAGACCCGAAACCCGGUGAUCUAGCCAUGGGCAGGUUGAAGGUUGGGUAACACUAACUGGAGGACCGAACCGACUAAUGUUGAAAAAUUAGCGGAUGACUUGUGGCUGGGGGUGAAAGGCCAAUCAAACCGGGAGAUAGCUGGUUCUCCCCGAAAUCUAUUUAGGUAGAGCCUUGAGGUGACACCUUUGGGGGUAGAGCACUGUUUCGGCUAGGGGUCCAUCCCGGAUUACCAACCCGAUGCAAACUACGAAUACCAAAGAGUGAUACUCAGGAGACACACGGCGGGUGCUAACGUCCGUCGUGGAGAGGGAAACAACCCAGACCGCCAGCUAAGGUCCCCAAGUCUAUAUUAAGUGGGAAACGAAGUGGGAAGGCUUAGACAGCUAGGAUGUUGGCUUAGAAGCAGCCAUCAUUUAAAGAAAGCGUAAUAGCUCACUAGUCGAGUCGGCCUGCGCGGAAGAUGUAACGGGGCUGAAAUAUAGCACCGAAGCUGCGGCAUCAGGCGUAUCACUAAUACGCCUUACGAUUAACAAGCUAGAAUGGCGCGAAGCGGCAUGAAAGGUUGUUCAAGCAACCCGAACGUUGAGUCGGGGUAUUUUUGAAGUAAGGAUUAUUAGUGAUACGCCUGUUGGGUAGGGGAGCGUUGUGUAAGCGGAUGAAGGUUAAUCGAGAGGUUAGCUGGACGUAUCACAAGUGCGAAUGCUGACAUAAGUAACGAUAAAACGGGUGAAAAACCCGUUCGCCGGAAGACCAAGGGUUCCUGUCCAACGUUAAUCGGGGCAGGGUGAGUCGGCUCCUAAGGCGAGGCUGAAAAGCGUAGUCGAUGGGAAACAGGUUAAUAUUCCUGUACUUGGUAAAGCUGCGAUGUGGGGACGGAGUAGGUUAGGUUAUCGCACUGUUGGAUAUGUGCGUUUAAGUUGGUAGGUGGGAAGUUUAGGCAAAUCCGGACUUCCUUAACACAGAGAGAUGAUGACGAGGCUCUACGGAGCUGAAGUAACUGAUACCACACUUCCAGGAAAAGCCACUAAGCGAAAGGCUUUACUAAACCGUACUGAAAACCGACACAGGUGGUCAGGUAGAGAAUACUCAGGCGCUUGAGAGAACUCGGGUGAAGGAACUAGGCAAAAUAGCACCGUAACUUCGGGAGAAGGUGCGCCGGCGUAGAUUGUAGUCCCUAGCGGGCGAAGGUUGAACCGGUCGAAGAUACCAGCUGGCUGCAACUGUUUAUUAAAAACACAGCACUCUGCAAACACGAAAGUGGAGGUAUAGGGUGUGAUGCCUGCCCGGUGCUGGAAGGUUAAUUGAUGGUGUCAUCGCAAGAGAAGCACCUGAUCGAAGCCCCAGUAAACGGCGGCCGUAACUAUAACGGUCCUAAGGUAGCGAAAUUCCUUGUCGGGUAAGUUCCGACCUGCACGAAUGGCAUAAUGAUGGCCAGGCUGUCUCCACCCGAGACUCAGUGAAAUUGAAAUCGCCGUGAAGAUGCGGUGUACCCGCGGCUAGACGGAAAGACCCCGUGAACCUUUACUAUAGCUUGACACUGAACAUUGAAUUUUGAUGUGUAGGAUAGGUGGGAG
rnacentral:rRNA from 1 species